rnacentral:rRNA from 1 species
AUGAACGCUGGCGGCGUGCCUAAUACAUGCAAGUCGAGCGCACAGACGAGGAGCUUGCUCCUCUGACGUUAGCGGCGGCCGGGUGAGUAACACGUGGAUAACCUACCUAUAAGACUGGGAUAACUUCGGGAAACCGGAGCUAAUACCGGAUAAUAUAUUGAACCGCAUGGUUCCAUAGUGAAAGACGGUUUUGCUGUCACUUAUAGAUGGAUCCGCGCCGCAUUAGCUAGUUGGUAAGGUAACGGCUUACCAAGGCAACGAUGCGUAGCCGACCUGAGAGGGUGAUCGGCCACACUGGAACUGAGACACGGUCCAGACUCCUACGGGAGGCAGCAGUAGGGAAUCUUCCGCAAUGGGCGAAAGCCUGACGGAGCAACGCCGCGUGAGUGAUGAAGGUCUUCGGAUCGUAAAACUCUGUUAUUAGGGAAGAACAAAUGUGUAAGUAACUAUGCACGUCUUGACGGUACCUAAUCAGAAAGCCACGGCUAACUACGUG